GGAAAAAGAGUUUUGCCUCCUCUGGAUUUUAAGAAAAAGCUUCCUGGCAUAUGGAAUCCUGCAAAUGGGAUUUUUAUGUUGUAUUUACAGCUUAAGUCCUACUCUUUCUCUAAGUUAACUGCUUCUGCCUGCCUCAAGGAAACAAAACACUUCAAAGAGGAAACAAGGAUGUACACAUUCAAGGCUUCAUCGCAACCAUUAGGUAGAAGCCCUAACAGCAUUUCUGACCCUCUCUGUAAGAGAUGCUUUCAAGGAGGAAAGUCACAGCUCUGAUGAAAUCAAAGGCUCCAGAGCAAACAGGCAGCCUGGGAACCCCUGGUGAUUAUAGAAAUGAAGUAAACCACUUCCCCUGUACUUACAAAGGUAAAGUCAAAAACACCGUACUGUGGACUAUAAGAAUAGGUACUAUCUAACUGUUCUUAAAUUAUAUGAUUCUUAGCUUCUUUAAACAAACAAACAAACACACAUAUUGCAGAAGAAGAUAAAAGAAAUACACACUCUGCAGUCAAAGAACUGCACACACAUGAAAACCUCAAGCAAACAAGGCAAUGUUUGACAUGUAAAAAACCACAGUAGGUAUUCCUGAACGGUCAGGUACUCCUUCUACCCUCACUGGACAUAAACAACAGUUCUGUCCCUCUGAAGGUAAUCUGCU
rnacentral:lncRNA from 1 species